UCAUCCAGUAGGCGGUGCUCUCCUUCUGCACUGUGUUCAACCAUUGUGUCAAUAAUAAGUGCUGCUGUGAAGAGAACAAUUCUCAGACUGAAUGUUGAACAUCAGCUAGUUUCUCCUGUUGAUUGAAACCUUGUUGUACAGAUGGAACACUGGCUGUGGAUUAUUCUUGCUGCUCUUUUCUUUGAGUGUAAAGGAGAAGACAAAGUGAUCCAGGAACAAGGAGAUGGCAUUGCUGCUGAAGGAGUCACAGUUACACUUGGAUGUACUUUUGCAAGUCAAACAACAGCCACCUUGUUCUGGUACAAACAAGAAGUAAACAGUUACCCAAAAUAUAUCCUGCGGAAAUUUCUCUCUGGAGCAACAGAUAAAGCCCCAGAGUUCCAGGAGGACAGAUUUGAUGCUAAAAUCAACGAGACAUCAGUUCCUCUGAAGAUCCAGAAGCUUCAGCUGUCUGACUCUGCUGUGUACUACUGUGCUCUGCAGCCCACAGUGACAGGAAACACCAAAACUCUGUACAAAAACCUUUGGAGCAAAGACAACAGAAUACUCCACAACAUCCACUAGAGGGAGC